UGUAUCUGAUCUUCAUAUUAAACAUUUAAACUUUCAUUACAGGUUUUCAUCGUUUUGUCCCGGUUUAUCUGUUCGGAUCAGUUGGUUUUAUUUUACUGACCUCCACUGCACUAAUAACUGAACUGAUACUGAAAACAGUGAAUGGUGAUCGUACGGUUGGAGAUCUGAGAUUCAUCGUCUUUCCAGUUGAAUGUUUCUUUGCCGUAUCUGUGCUGAUUUCAGGAUUAUUUGCGUCCAAGAUCACAAACUGUCUGCAGUCUUGUCAGAAGGCAGUGAGAUCUAGACGACUCAAAAGAUCGCAGCAGAAAACAGAAGAAACACACGAGUCAAUACCGCUGAAGAAGACUGAAGAUCAGGAGGAAACUCAGCCUGAUUCAGUGCUGUCACAAACAUGAGGAAAUUAUUAUUCCUGAUUUAUCUCAAACUCAUCAAGACAUUAAGGCACAAAUUUCUGCUUUGAAACCACAUGGAUUGUGAAAAGCACUAAAAAAAUAACACUGGCGG